UACAGAGGGUGCAAGCGUUGUUCGGAAUUAUUGGGCGUAAAGCGCGUGUAGGCGGCUUAGCAAGUCGGGUGUGAAAGCCCUCAGCUUAACUGAGGAAGUGCGCCCGAAACUGCUGAGCUUGAGUACCGGAGAGGGUAGCGGAAUUCCCCAAGUAGAGGUGAAAUUCGUAGAUAUGGGGAGGAACACCGGUGGCGAAGGCGGCUACCUGGACGGAUACUGACGCUGAGACGCGAAAGCGUGGGGAGCAAACAGG
rnacentral:rRNA from 1 species